AUUGAACGCUGGCGGCAGGCCUAACACAUGCAAGUCGAACGAGUGGCGGACGGGUGAGUAAUGUCUGGGACACUGCCUGAUGGAGAGGGAUAACUACUGGAAACAGUAGCUAAUACCGCCUAACCUCGGAUGUGCCCAGAUGGGAUUAGCUAGUGGGUGGGGUAACGGCUCACCAAGGCGACGAUCCCUAGCUGGUCUGAGAGGAUGACCAGUCACACUGGAACUGAGACACGGUCCAGACUCCUACGGGAGGCAGCAGUGGGGAAUAUUGCACAAUGGGCGCAAGCCUGAUGCAGCCAUGCCGCGUGUAUGAAGAAGGCCUUCGGGUUGUAAAGUACUUUAAGCGGGGAGGCGUUACCCGCAGAAGAAGCACCGGCUAACUCCGUGCCAGCAGCCGCGGUAAUUC
rnacentral:rRNA from 1 species